rfam:Schistosoma rodhaini strain Burundi genome assembly, scaffold: SROB_scaffold0010803
AUCUAUAUGAUGAGUACCAAAUAGGACGAAACGCACGUCCUGAAU